rnacentral:rRNA from 1 species
UGGGGAAUAUUGGACAAUGGGCGCAAGCCUGAUCCAGCCAUGCCGCGUGAGUGAUGAAAGGCCCCUAGGGUUGUAAAGCUCUUUCAGCGAGGAGGAUAAUGACGUUACUCGCAGAAGAAGCCCCGGCUAACUUCGUGCCAGCAGCCGCGGUAAUACGAAGGGGGCUAGCGUUGUUCGGAAUCACUGGGCGUAAAGCGCACGUAGGCGGACUUUUAAGUCAGGGGUGAAAUCCCGGGGCUCAACCUCGGAACUGCCUUUGAUACUGGAAGUCUGGAGUCCGAGAGAGGUGAGUGGAACUCCGAGUGUAGAGGUGAAAUUCGUAGAUAUUCGGAAGAACACCAGUGGCGAAGGCGGCUCACUGGCUCGGUACUGACGCUGAGGUGCGAAAAGCGUGGGGAGCAAAACAGGAUUAGAUACCCUGGUAGUCCACGCCGUAAACGAUGGAAGCUAGCCGUCAGGGUGCAUGCAUCUUGGUGGCGCAGUUAACGCAUUAAGCUUCCCGCCUGGGGAGUACGGUCGCAAGAUUAAAACUUAAAUGAAUUGACGAGGUCAUAGCUGUUUCCU